GCCUGGGUGGCUCAGUUGCUUGAGUGUCUGACUUCGACUCAGGUCAUGAUCUCACAGCUUGUGGGUUCAAGCCCCACAUCUGGCU
rnacentral:tRNA from 1 species